AAUAAUAAACUAUGGAGACCAAUUUAGCCACCAACAAACAAUUUUUUUCUUGUUUUGACUAAUAAUAAAAUUAAAACUGCUUGGUCAUCAUCUUCUUCUUCCCACACACCAACAACAACACACAUCCUGAUGACACUUUUUCUUUUAAACUUCUCUCUUCUUCCACAAUCUCAAUAGUGCAUCAUUUGCAACACUAGGAGUAUAUUCGGGACCCUUUGUAACCCCCUCUUUCAUUUACACUAAGAAUCAAUCAAAACUCGAAAGGUUAUUUUGUGGUACCGAAAAAACAAAUCACCAACUUCAUACCGACAUUCCGGCCACAACCAAUGUUGUUAGUGAAAACCGAGACCGCCCUUAGAAAUCCACACAACACCUUCUUUCAUCUUCUAUGUAAGAAAACACCAGCCAUUACACUUUGAAAAAUGACAUUUUGCCACUGAUGCGGUUCUGUUUAGUUCUGAUCAGCUCGUUCGUCGUUUUUGAAAAACCUACUUUGUUUUUGGAAUAUUUGCGCCGAAACCUUUGAGACGAGAAGAACUAUUAGUGUGCGCGUCAUUCCAAAGUUGACGUCGAACCAUUUCGAGGUUUUGGUGAGACCUUUCGUUGACUUUUGUUUUGUGUCGUUUUUGUCGGUGUUGCUGAAAGUCUCCGUUGAGUUUGGAGGUUGUAUGGAAGCUUUGGAAUGAGGAGCAAAACCCACUCGAGGUGGUAAAGCUAGAUCUGAGUGUAGUGUUGUGAACUUGGAGUUUAAGAAUGAAAGACUACUGAGACAAAUUCAUCCAAGGAAUUACUGGUCAGUAUUCUUUAUAAUCAACUCUAACUUCCUAUAUAACAUUCUUUAUAUGAAUGUGUUACAUAAAUAAUUAAAUAUAUACUGUUACUUUUAGUAAAAUGGUCUUAACUUAAAUCAGUCUUUAUUAUACUCUAUUUGCCUGUUAUCACGCUGACUUCCGAAAUAUUGUGAUAUAUGCGUAGACUAAUAUAUGCAUUUCAGCUUCAUCAAACCAAACUGUCACCAUAUCUGUCAGCCUUAAAAUUGGUAAAAACAGCUACCCAAUAUUUCUUGAUCUGAACUACAUAGUCUCAGAGCAUAAAAUUGUGAACUGCCACCUACCUUUGGUUUGUGACUUUUAUUCAAUAUUUGUUGAAAGAAUGGGAAAGCAUCUAUCCAGGUAUUGUCUGUAGAGCUAAAUACCUAUUGUCAUUUUAUAUUUUGUUCUAAUUAAUGAUGUGGAAGAUGAUUGGGAUAUUGCUUGCAUUUUAUAUACGAAAUAAUGGCUGAAACAUUCCUUAUGCAUCUUAUGCUAUAAAGCAUGGAGUACUUCUAAAAUGGUGAAGUACCCAUACUUGGUGGUUACCCGGUACUGGUACUGGUACUUGUACCAUAUUUGUGGGUAUGCUGUUUUUAUUUAUUUUAUUUCGAGUGAAAUUCAUGAUUUUGUUAUAUAAUAAUUUAAUAUUAUUUGUUUAUUUGAGUUUAUUUGUUAUUGUAAUCGAACACAAUUUGUGUGUUUUUAGACAUUUAUAUUGAUUUUGUAUUGAGAAUUGAACAAUUUAACUCAGUUAAAUUAUAUAAAAAAAUUAAUGUUUUUCAUUGAUGUAUCCAUAGCUUAAUUUUUUUAAAAAAAAAUACCAUAUCCCGUACUGGUACCAGUAACUGAUACUACUACCAUACCUAUGCGUGAUAGAUCUUAUGCUGAUACAAUUUUCAGGCCAUCGUAUUGAUGUUACCAUAUAUUUCCUCUGAUUAUGAUAUCAUUGUGCAAACAUAUCGGUAUGUGAACAUGAGUUUGAAGUAGAGGUUGUGUCGUUGGGUUGGGCUCUAUGCUCACUAAGCUUGAUUAUGAUUUGCAUCGGAAGAUUAGGUGCACAGGCUUGAAGUGUGGUAAUGAGCUACACAAUUUUUGAUAUAGUCAAUGACAAAUAAUUUUUUGGAAAUUCUCUUGAAAUAUGUACCUGAUCCCAUGCUCUCUCAUAUCUCGUGUCAUUUUUUUCAAUAGUACCUUGCCAGUUUUCUACUUCUGCAUUAGACUUUUUAUGCUUUAGUUUUCUUAUAGAAUAUCUUUUUCUUUGUUGGACUUCAUCUGAGUACUAAAGAGCUAAAAAGCUAAAAAGCUUAUUGAAUAGAGCAUACACAGAGAAAAUAAAUAUGUAUACUGAAUAAUUAAGC